GAUGAACGCUGGCGGCGUGCCUAAUACAUGCAAGUCGAGCGAACAGACGAGGAGCUUGCUCCUCUGACGUUAGCGGCGGACGGGUGAGUAACACGUGUAUAACCUACCUAUAAGACUGGGAUAACUUCGGGAAACCGGAGCUAAUACCGGAUAAUAUAUUGAACCGCAUGGUUCAAUAGUGAAAGACGGUUUUGCUGUCACUUAUAGAUGGAUCCGCGCCGCAUUAGCUAGUUGGUAAGGUAACGGCUUACCAAGGCAACGAUGCGUAGCCGACCUGAGAGGGUGAUCGGCCACACUGGAACUGAGACACGGUCCAGACUCCUACGGGAGGCAGCAGUAGGGAAUCUUCCGCAAUGGGCGAAAGCCUGACGGAGCAACGCCGCGUGAGUGAUGAAGGUCUUCGGAUCGUAAAACUCUGUUAUUAGGGAAGAACAAAUGUGUAAGUAACUAUGCACGUCUUGACGGUAACUAAUCAGAAAGCCGCGGCUAACUACGUG
rnacentral:rRNA from 1 species